UGCUUGGAGGGUUUGAUCCUGGCCCAGGACUAACGCUGGCAGCGUAUCUUAGACAUGCAAGUCGGACGGGCUUUCUGUGGUAGCGAUACCACAGGGAGUCAGUGGCGAACGGGUGAGUAAUAUAAGGAUAACCUGCCCCUAAGAGGGGGAUAAAAUCCCCCAUACCUUCAUUGAGGCGGAUGCCUCAGUGAAGAAAGGUGGCCUCUGCUUUGCAUGCUACCGCUUAGGGAGGGGUCCUUAUCCCAUCAGGUAGUUGGUGAGGUAAUGGCUCACCAAGCCGAUGACGGGUAGCCGGCGUGAGAGCGUGACCGGCCACACGGGGACUGAGACACGGCCCCGACUCCUUCGGGAGGCAGCAGUCUAGAAAUUUGGGCAAUGGGCGAAAGCCUGACCCAGUGACGCUGCGUGGGGGAUGAAGGCCUUCGGGUUGUAAACCCCUGUCAGGAGGGAAGAUGUCCCAAAAGACUAAUAAUCUCUUGGGAUGACUGUACCUCCAGAGGAAGCCCCGGCUAACUACGUGCCAGCAGCCGCGGUAAAACGUAGGGGGCAAGCGUUGUCCGGAAUUACUGGGCGUAAAGGGUGUGUAGGCGGAUCCGCAAGUCCACUGUGAAAUUCCUCGGCUCAACCGAGGAACGGCGGUGGAUACUACGGAUCUUGAGGGCAGGAGAGGAGGGUGGAACUCCCGGUGUAGCGGUAAAAUGCGUGGAUAUCGGGAGGAACGCCGAUGGCGAAGGCAGCCCUCUGGAAUGCCCCUGACGCUGAAACACGAAAGCUGGGGGAGCAAACGGGAUUAGAUACCCCGGUAGUCCCAGCCCUAAACGAUGUGGGCUAGACAUUGGGGAAACCCAGUGUCGCAGCUAACGCGUUAAGCCCACCGCCUGGGGACUACGGCCGCAAGGCUAAAACUCAAAGGAAUUGACGGGGGCCCGCACAAGCGGUGGAGGAUGUGGUUUAAUUCGAUGCUACGCGAAAAACCUUACCUGGGCUUGACAUGUCGGUAGUAGCGACCCGAAAGGGAAGCGACCGGAAUUUUUUCCGGAGCCGACACAGGUGCUGCAUGGCUGUCGUCAGCUCGUGCCGUGAGGUGUACGGUUAAGUCCUGCAACGAGCGCAACCCCCGCCCUUAGUUGCCACCCCAAUCCAAUUGGGAGCACUCUAAGGGGACUGCCCGGGCAACCGGGAGGAAGGUGGGGAUGACGUCAAGUCAUCAUGGCCUUUAUGCCCAGGGCUACACACGUCCUACAGUGCCCACUACAAUGGGCUGCAACCUCGCAAGAGGAAGCAAAUCCCAGAAAAGUGGGCAUGGUUCGGAUCGCAGGCUGCAACCCGCCUGCGUGAAGAUGGAAUCGCUAGUAAUCGCACAUCAGCAUGGUGCGGUGAAUACGUUCCCGGGCCUUGUACACACCGCCUGUCACGCCAUGGGAGCUCGCAAUGCCCGAAGUUCCACUCCGUGGACCCAAGGCAGGGCGAGUGACUGGGGCGAAGUCAUAACAAGGUAGCCGUACGGGAACGUGCGGCUGGAUCACCUCCUUUU
rnacentral:rRNA from 1 species